AGCUUUGUGCAGUGGCAGCAUCGUAGCCAAUGAGAUUUAUCUGAGACGCGACUAUUGCUAAUUGAAAACUAAUUCAACAAUCAUCAGGUGAGCAUCUAUUAUGGGUUCAUUCUGUGGAAGGUCAUGAAUGAC
rnacentral:snRNA from 1 species